rnacentral:sRNA from 1 species
CCUUUAGCUUUUCAGAGAGUUUUCUAUAUUCCAUCAUCAGAAAAAUAAUAUUAAAUAUAUGAUAAUAUCCCCCACAAUCCUCUCCCUCUUCUUCUAUUUAAGACCCUCCCUUUAUCCUCUCUUCUCAGCAUGGAGCCUAGCAUCUACCGAAUGGAAUUUUUGUGUCUCGGUGCAGUUUUGACGAUAUCAAGAUCCCUUACUACUGCUUUGGUGAUUGAGCCUCGGCUAGGGCUUGUUUCUGAAGUGGGGUUUCUUUCAUAAUCCAACUACAGCAGGAUUACAAAACCAGAGAGAGAGAAGUGAACUUAAUUCACAUGCCCUGUGAAGGUGAGUUUGAUUAAGAGCUGCUGAUGUUUAUUCUAAAACUAUGAGGCUAUGAUCAAUAUCAUGUGAAGCUCCUUUCAGUUUUCAUGAGAAAAUGUUGUCUCUUCUCUCUCUCUCUCUCUCUCUCUCCCUGAGGGUUGCUUUCUUUCCCUCUAUCUUUUCUUGCUGGACUUUGGCCCUUCUGUUUUGGUGGUAAGCUUUAUGUGGACAAGAUUCCAUGCAGCUCUCAUUUUUCCAUUAAGUACCAAAGUAGUCAGAUACGUUACUAGUUUUGAUUCGUCCUACUCUUUCCAGAGUUUUUCCAUAUGUCAGCUAUCAUGCAUGAAGAAAAACUAAGUGAGGAUUCAUUGACAAGUACUCCUUACAUUCCAUUUGAAGAUGCUCUUGGGAAUUAGUCUCCAUAAAGCUAGAUCUUUGGCAUCAUUUUAAUUACUGUCUUCUGUAAGGGGAUCAAAUAUGGGUCAAAUAAUUCAUUCUCCGAAAGAGAAAUAUCGAUAACAGAAGUGGGCUGCCUCUGUAUCUAGGUGGGGGGCCCGGGCUAGCUGUUGUAGUAGCUAGGGUCUGUUUGGAUCUCAGGAGGAAAAGCAAGGAUGGUUUCCCUUGGGGCAACAUAAGGAUUGAACAGAAGUGAAAAUCCUUUUGUUUGAUUUUCAUGGUCUUACUAACGAGUUGCUGCAGUAAAUAAUGCAUGUACACCUAAAAGAGAUGGGAAAAAAUUACAUCAAAGUGAAAACAAAAACCUCAGAGGUUGGAUUGUAAGAGAAGCUGCCAAUUUUAAUUUGAUGUGAUUGUGAUGUUAUUGCUUACAAUGUUGAGGAGGAGUACUUUCUUUCAGUGCUUAGUACUUUGAUGUAAUAUCUCAUGCACAUUACAUGUUAUAUAUAUAUACAUUAUAUGCACAUGCAUGUCCAUGUUCUUAUAUCAAUUAUGUUAACUGAACUUUCUUUUUUCUA